AGAUUUAUCGUACUCUGUGCAAGUGCAAUGUGAAACCUGUCAUCAGAGCAGCUGUUCAUUUACAUCUUGUUUUGACCAUCACCACGCACUCUGUGAACAGAGCUUGUUAGAACCAACAAAACUCACGACAAGAAUCUCAUUAGCGCGAACCACUCACACAUCAAACAAAAACUCGAAGAAAUCUUGCUCACUCUUGGUGGUAUAAUUGCCGCUAUAACAACUACAAUUGGUCUGCUGGUAUUUUGUGUAAG